AUUGAACGCUGGCGGCAUGCCUUACACAUGCAAGUCGAACGGCAGCACGGGUGCUUGCACCUGGUGGCGAGUGGCGAACGGGUGAGUAAUACAUCGGAACAUGUCCUGUAGUGGGGGAUAGCCCGGCGAAAGCCGGAUUAAUACCGCAUACGAUCUACGGAUGAAAGCGGGGGACCUUCGGGCCUCGCGCUAUAGGGUUGGCCGAUGGCUGAUUAGCUAGUUGGUGGGGUAAAGGCCUACCAAGGCGACGAUCAGUAGCUGGUCUGAGAGGACGACCAGCCACACUGGGACUGAGACACGGCCCAGACUCCUACGGGAGGCAGCAGUGGGGAAUUUUGGACAAUGGGCGAAAGCCUGAUCCAGCAAUGCCGCGUGUGUGAAGAAGGCCUUCGGGUUGUAAAGCACUUUUGUUCGGAAAGAAAUCCUUGGCCCUAAUACGGUCGGGGGAUGACGGUACCGGAAGAAUAAGCACCGGCUAACUACGUG
rnacentral:rRNA from 1 species